CUAUUAGUGAGAUGGCGUUGUGAUGACGUGAUUUGCGUAAAUAAGGUGUUAGGUAUGUAUGCGAUGCCGGUGAGAUGAUAGAAGAGGGAAAUUUAGUGACAACAAAUUCUUGGCUUGGUAAGACAAAGUGUUUGGAACUUGGCAACAUUUAUAAGGCGUUUUGCAUUGCUGCCACUGUCAGUUGCAAUUCGACACCGUCAUAAUACAUUUCACCGCAAGUAUCAAUCGAUAUCUUAUUCCAGAAAAAUGAAAACAAUUCAUUUUUUCCCCUUUUUAAUGGUUAAAUUCAUAAAACUAGUCUAGAAUGGAUACGCAUAUAAAAAAUUUUCCGAGAUAUCUUUUCAAAGAGUUUUGAUUUGACUACACAACACAAACUGAAGAGAGAACUGUAGUAAGUUUUGGAGGGGGCUUCUAAUUGGUGGAAUCCUAUCCAAAAUGGCCGCGCCCAACAGCCAAAUUCUAGUGAACGUUGUCUACUGCAAGAGCGCAAGGAAACACAACGUAGUGCCUGCGAUUUAUUUUCGUCAUGCGUAAAAACGAGUCCCGUGAUGCCCUGCCAAUGACACCUAUUCCCAUCAAGGUUAUAUUGUGUAUUCCAGAAAAUGAGGCCGUUUUGGAGUUUCAGCUGAUGGAAUCCAUGAAGCAGUUUGCUGCUUGUUGACGGGUAGUCAGCAUUAAAUCGAGAUCUAUGCGCGGCAUUGGCCCUGUUAGCUUACACAGAUUCCCAGCAGACAGGUAUGUAAAAAUCAAUACUUUUUACCGUUACGGCGUCACUCUUUCACGCAUCAGUCAGCGAAAUUGAAAGCAACCAGAAGGCAAUUCUGAUUUUAAUUCCACUUUACUUUCUUUAUUUCAAAAAUUCUCCGUGAUACGUCAAUGUCAGUUCCUGUAGGUAUACAGUAUAGUUACCCCUUUGACAACUAAAAUGCAAUUAAACUUUUAUCCAGCAAGCUAGAAAUGUCACAGAGGACCACAGACCGCAUUGUCGGAGUUCGUUCAUGAAUACGUUAAAUAUACUAACAAUGCUCUAGAUGUAUAUAUUUAACGAAUUUGAAUAAUGCAUACAAUCAGUAGCUAAAGAUUUUUUUUCAUAGCGAGUAAAGAGCACACGAUGGAGAUUGUCAAUCAUUAGUGUGCAUUGUUCAAGUUUAACUAUAUACGAUUUUUUCCCCACCAAUAGUCAUUUCGCGUUUUCCACAAUGUAAUCUUUUCUUGAUGUCAGUAUUUAUUGAUUAAAUUGUGCCUCCUAUAUCACUAGACCAGCAAGCAAAAAUGUUGGAGCAUAGUAUGUUAAGGUGGAUGUAUCGUGUUUUCAAAUUGGGUAAUAUUAGAGGAACCAGAUGCUGUUCAUAUUCAUAAACUCAUUUUCGUUGUAUUUUUACUUGUAAUUAAUACUUUAAUGAAGAAAAUUUGACGUAAAUUUUUAUUUUCUAUUUUGCUGGUCGCUAGAAAACGUUUAUUUGGAUAGGCCGUCCAUUUGUUGAUAUCCCUCAUUUGUUUCUUAUUCUUAACCUACAUUGUCAGGGCGACAAACAGCUAUAAAAUUAUUUUUUUUGUUCACACGAUGUGCACUUAAUAAAGCUCAGUUCAUUUACAACAGUAAUUGUCACACAAUAUGGUUCUACGAUAAGCUUAGGACAAAGAAACUAAACUUAGGACUUGAUUUCUCAGGUCGUAUAAUCCCUAUAAAAACGCAACUCAAUGUUGUUUUCCUUGGAUGAGUUCAGACAGCGUUAACAUUUCUAAAACCUGUAUCUAAAAUUUAAAGACUUUGUGUUGUUCGGCUUACCCGACCCAUCGUGCGUUUCCUUCCCGACAGAUAAAAAAGACAGGCCCGUAUUACUGUGCCCUUAUUGGUUGGAUGCAAUAUCAAAAUGGCUGCCAACACAAAGUCUACUGCUAUGUGAGCUAACAGAAAAAAAUAAAUGCCGCGUUUACAUCUUGGCGCAUACACCCCCAGAGUAAGCGUAGUUACGUAUGCUUCCCUCUUAGCUUGUUGUUUUGAUUAUCAAGUAGGAGGACUGGUAUUUUAACGUAUCACAUUGGUUCCAAUUUGAAGUGCGUAAAAGUUGAGGGUGCCAAUUUUUGUGUGCCAUUACUCUUGUCAGUCGAUCAGAAAAAUAACCAAGGACAACUUUGCAUUUUUUUUAAAUAAAAAAGAGGGGGGUCCAUUGAAGGAAAAAUUCGCCGAAUUGUGUCAACUCUGCAUUAGGCUUCCAACAGUCAGCUGAUUUACAGGGAAAGCGUGUGCUUAAGGUCUGUUAGUUUUUGCAUCGAAUAAUCAUCGAAGACAAAAACGAUUUUAAUUGUAAUGGACGUACGAUUAGAUUAGAAAUUGCUUACGAUGUAUCUUUUUUUUUACCCCUGAAAUUCCAUUAAAAAUUUGUUUGCUAAGUGUAUCUUGUUUUAUUGUUUUUUCUUGAAUAAAAAAAAAGAUGUUAAUGGAUUGUCUCAGAGACAUGUUUUACACGGUAUUCAUUACAAUAGACUUUAUAGAAAAAGAAAAAUUAUACGUCCAUUUACCUUUAUGUUUAACGCUUUAGCAUGCUUUAAAUCAUAACCUUUCCUAAAUAAAACUGACCUGCCUUAAAUCAGGUGGGAUGCCUAACGAAAAACGACAUUCAAAAAAGGGCAUAAAGCAUACGACAGGGCAUACGGUACAUUCAGAUCUAUCGACCUUUAUAGCGUUCAGGUUGUAACGAAUCGAAACCGCUUUUCGUACGCUUGACAGCAGUUUGCAGUAGCCUUAAAGUGGGAGUGACGCGUAAUGUGUUCAGUGCGUCACCACGCAUAGAACUGGAGCCGCUCUUAUCACGCUUAGCGGUACGCCAUCAUGGCGUGGAGUUAGGAGUGGCGCAUGGUGUAACUCACGCGCCCCGCCCACACGAUUGUAUCACCAAAGCGUGUUUCUUAUUACUUCCAUGAUAUGCGCCACUGUCGCGAUUCCACUGAUAUAAAAUCCCGACUUUUUCGCUAUUUAGCUCAGAGUUGCAUUUGCUCGCAUCCUGUGUCCUACUUGCAUUGGGAUACAUAAAUAAAUGGCAAUAACACGUCGUAAGGCUCUAUUCACGAACAAAGUCUUUUUGAUUGCAGCGUACUGCCCAAUAGCUCCCUUUGUGUUGGGAUAUUUUUUUUGGGUGGGCAGGCUCAUAUGAAAACAAUACCUUUUCCAGUAGUAGCAGAUGUUAUGUUCAAUGUUGAUUUUUCGGUAGUUUCAUGUUAGUCAUAGAAUACAAAAUGUCUUUCUACAUAGAUGAAUGGCAUGUGUGAUUUUCGUAGUUUUAAUAAUUAAAAUUAACACACAUAGAUUCUGAUUAUCCAUUACAGCCAGUCAACUGAAGGAAGAACGUGAACUAAAAGUUUAGGCCAUGGGUUGGCCCUUGAUGAUGAGACGAACGUAUUUUACAACAUAGUUUUUCUUAAAAUUGUUUUCCUGCCCAUGUUUCAAGUGUGGCAUUCCAUAACGGACAGUAGCCUGAUGGAUGGGAUUAUGCCUUUGUUUCCUAAGUUUCACGUUUGUCUAAUAUGCAAGCUACUCUUUUACAAUCUAGUUUUGUUUUUAGACGCCUUUAAAGAAUUGCGUCGCUAACUAAUACUCUUCUUAAAUGGUUCUCUUACAAUUUACCAUUUUGCAUGGAGCUGUCGUUUUUGAUCAUUCCAUCUUGCCUGUUAGUAUACCCCAUCCAGCAUCCAUCCCAAUUAAAACGCUUUCCGCUUUCUUGAUGGUUUAAGCUCAUACUUUCAUAUAAUUUGUUUUUAGUAUAGCCGUCGUGUGAUAGAAAAAUACAACCUAGUUCGCUUAUCGAGGUAGGCGCGUUUCUCAAA